CUUUUUUUUUUUUUUUUUUUUUUCCUACGUAGAAAACUGCAAAUAUCAGAAGUGGUCGGUUAAGGCAGAGUCCAUGACAAAUUAUUAAGUGAUUUCAUCCGUGAUAUGAUCACAGUUUUAAUACAGUAUACAGGCUGAAUAAUUAAAUAAAAUCUCAAUCCUGCAACUUGGCCUGAGAGUCUGUAGCAAAAUUGCCUCAGCAUGAUGAGGGGAUUGAAAUAGGAAAAAAAAAAAAAAAAAGAACACUCAUUUAGAAGAAAUUCUUCAGCAAAAAUUUCAACCCAUUACGCGAUGUCACUCCCCCAAAUUCCCUCAACAAAAGCUUUCAAUUAAUGAACUUCAGAUUAGCCUAGCCAGUUUCCAUUAGCGCCCAGCACAUUAGGCUUUAGAGAUCUUCUUACACCAGAACCGUGCCAAGUUGAUGCUGCUUUGCUUGUGCAACAGACCUACUGGUCGUCAUCGUGCAAGGGUAACCUAUUGACUAAGGCAGAAAUCCAGAAGUUAACAGGUGAUUUCCAGCCCGUUUCACGAUAGAUCGAACGAUAUACAGCAGCCCCAGAGGAAUCAACAAACCGAGAGAUCUGCAAUCCUCAAUACUAUCACAAGGAUUUUACGUCCUUCUCCACAAAUUACGUAAAGCAAGCAGAGUGAUGAGCAUUAAGUAGAACUCUGAAAAGAUUACCCUUAAAAUAAUUUUGUUUUAAAAACCAUAACAAAUGCUGAAAAGUUCAUAAUUACAAUUUAUUGCUGUUAAAUUUUUUACCAUCCGAACCAAUGGAAAGAGAAGGAAGUAAAUAAAAAGCUAAUUGCGGAUCCUAAUUCAGCACAAUUCAUACAUUUCAUGGUGCAAACCAAGUAUGAUGCAGCAUUGACACUUUGCACAAUCUAUCGUUUGCAUUCACCUUGACUUCUUACUACGCAAUCCCAUCCUUGAUUUUGCAUACCUAAAUAUUUUGUCAAGUCCAAACUACAGAAAAACCAAUGAAAUCAUGGGAAGAAAACCGAAUAAUACAAUGGUAAUCACAAAAUUAGACUCAAUCUUAGUAAAGGAUACUCCAACCGCAUGCCCUGACCAGAUGGUGAUGAGUACAGAACUGUGCCUUGUAGAUGAUUUAGAGCCUCACUUGAAGUAGCAGAAUCCUACAAAUUAAACCAUCAGAUGCAGACAGGAGCGUUUUACUAAAAGAUUAAUGAGACGGAAAGCACAGGACUGAACCAUGGCUCUGGGUCAAAAUGGAAAUGUUGGGCAUGUGCCAAUAAAUGCUGGGUUCUCCGUAUCAUAACAAAAAGGUGAGAAAAAUCGUCCAGCUUUUGGUUUCACAGGAGAGGUUUAGAUAGGUAAGGACAAGCAGUUGGUAGUACAGGUGACACAGUUAACAGCAUACCUACCUAUACGAGAUGGAAAAAGGUUGAGCAGAAUAUAUGCUACAAAGUGAAACAUUUCUCCAUGUAAAAGAUAGCCAGGUACAGGUGCAACAACAAAAACAAUUGAACAAAACUUCCAGUAACCACCCUUAAUCCCAUGGAGACUAGUAUCAAAGCUGAGCAGCAAAUGCUCCACAUUUUCCAGUCCAACCAACGGAGUGACUCAAGUUGACAACCAAAACUAAAUAAAGAAGAUUAGACUCUGAAUGAAUCUAGAAAAGAUCCUAAUUUUGUUCAAAAUUCCAACAAGAGAAAAGGGACUAUGCAAAUGUACAACAAACAAAAGGAAAUCCACUACGUUAAGCUUUCAUGCUUUUAGACCAGACUUGCAAAAAUAGUGUUCCAGAAGAACAAAGUAAGAAAUAUACCUGGAAAUCAACAAAUGCAACAGGAGCCCCAUAUGUGCUCUGCAUCUUCAAUUUCAGAAAUCCAGGACAUCUAAGUAGAAAGCAGGCACCAAGUUAGUGCAGCCACAACAAUUUUUAUGAUGAAUGAUGAAGAAGACUGUUCUCCUGAACCUUGAAAAAACUUGAAUGAGCUCCUGUUCUGAACAAGUUGGACCCAGAUUAGCUACAAAAAGUGUUGGACAUGGGGUGGAAUUCUGUGAAACACGGAGCUGAAGUCAAGCGGGUGUACAGCCAAAAUGGAUUAAUUAAUCUACCACAUAAAAGAUCACUAUAUGAACUUGAAAAGGGAGUCAGUAGAUAAGAUUUGUCAAGUAAUAAUCUAAAGCAAGCAAGUGAACAAUAACUGUAAUCGUUCCAACACGCUGAAACUAGUGCAGGAGCAAGACUAAGGCCCUGUUUGAUAACUCAAUUUACCACUUAAAUUUCAUAGGUUCAGAUCUUAACAUGUUCAGAUGCAUUUGAUAACCAAAAAUAGAACAUCUGAAGAAAAUUAAGUGGCACUAAAUUUUCUAGGCAAAAUUUGCUCCCAAAAAAAGUGAUGAGCUAUUCAAUUAUCACUUAAUAUGAUAUAUACACUCAAGUGUAUCAAAUUUAGUCCUUAACAAUUCAGUAACUUAACGAAUUCAGGCUUCAAUUUUAUCAAACACACCCUAACUCAUGCCUUAAAUAAAUGCUAUACAAAAUACUCAGAAUCAGUAUUCAGUUCGUAUAUUCAUAAAGACUUUACCAUAUCAAGGACAAUUUGGAAUGGAUAGCCUCUCUCAUGAAAAGGCCCAGGUUUUCAAAAGCUUAAGGAGAAAACUAACAUUUCUAGCUCGAAAAUCAUGAGCCAAAGCAGGAGUUAAAUUCUAAAAUUUUAAAGAGCCAAACAAAAAUUAUGAAAUAGUUUGUAAAAUACUGUAUCAUUAAAUAAAAUUUCAGGGACAAGAACAUCUUACCAAUUUUUUACUAGAGUCAUUUGCAGCCCUCUCAUCAAAGCUUCCCUCACUACAUUGUGAGAAAAAAGAAAAUGGAAAUCAGAUAAGAUUUUUCAGUAACAUUGUAACUGAUAAAGUUCUCUAACUUCAGGGAAUAGGGCAUAUAGUGACUGCUUCAAUGUGGCCCUUGACCUUUCAGCCAGAAGUAAUCAAAUAUGAGUAAAUUAAACGUGCAUAUCGGCAAGAAGUAAGCACUUCCAAAUAAUUAAAGUGUGCUUAAGUAGUGCAGAUGACCUUUGUGUGGAUGAAUAACCAAUCGUGUUGUGAGCGGAAUUACCCGUUCCAGGCAUGUGAAUGCUGCCAACACCUGCUAGUGCCCAACAGUGCAAAACAUGUGCAAGGUGAGCUUUUAUAUUAACGUGCUCUCCGCUUGGCUGACUAGCUAAUAUUCUUUGUAAGAGAUCAAGUAGGUAUCAUGUGACUAAUUUGGAUUUAAAAAAAAAGCAUAAAAACACAAUUAAACAUCGUGCCCUUGGAAGAAGCAGAAGAUAGAGACUGCUUGUAGAGAUAUUUUCAUCCACAAUAUGCACAGGAAAACUAAGGCAAAAACCUUACCCGAAUCUGUGCCCCUGGAAGAAGCAGAAGAUUUCAUCCUCUUCUCUGAUGCAGCACUCUCAUCAUCUGGUUGUUGCAAGUCAAACACAAUGGUUAAAAAAAGCAGGACACAAGGCAUGACAGGCAGGAAAAAUGUUGCAAAAGUACCUGUUCUUAAGCGCUUAGACCUGGGAUUAGAUUUUGCAAGAUCAAUAUAUAAUGUGGAACCUUUCUCAAGGUCAAAUACCAUUCCCUGGGAAGAAAAAAAAAAAGAAAAAAAAGGAUUAAAAUCAACAAGUGCUGAGGAUAUUUUCUCAGUAAAACCAAAGAUGUGAAUAUGAAAAUGAAGGGAGCCAACUACAUAAGGCAAGAAUGCUAAUUUAUGCAGAAACAGAUAACAAUUACAAUAUAAAGAUACAGAAUUUAGGGAAAACCCCACCAUUCCAAUUUUUAGUCAUACACAACACAAACCCACAACAUUAAAAUCAACAAGUUGUAAGAAUGAGAGACGAUCCUAGAAUUGCAUGAACUAAGGAUCAGUGAGUAGCAAAGCCAUUCCAAAAUGGGAUUUAUAAUUAUGUUUUCCUUUGUGGGAAGGGCAGGUGCUCCCGCCAGGCUCUAAACCCGUCCGGUAAGUUUUUCAAAUUUUUGAAAACAGAAAACCGACUUACUUGCCGGCCUCCACAUCAUUAUUGAUGAUCGAUUCAUUUCAAAUCAACCGAACCCGUCUAAAAUACUAGAGUGUUUGACCACAGUUACUAGGAGCUCAGUAACUUAGAACUAGUAACAAAUGCAAAGAAAGAUGUCCUUACAUUGAGCGUGUGUAAUGCCAUAACAGCUGACUGCUGAUCCACAAAAACAGCAAAAGCAAAUGGCUGUAAACAACCACCAAAGAAAGAACAUAUAAGAAUGCAUAUAUGCAUACAUUAAACAGACUGAAACGCCUGAGAGACCAUCAACUAAUCCGAUAAACAUAAAAACAAACAAAUAAUUGAGAAAAUGAGGGAAAAAAAAUCACCUGAGUACUGGCUGUUGUACGAAGAUGAGAGGACUCGUAACCAGGGAACUCGCGAAAUAGGUUGUAGAUUUCUCGAGCCUUGACAUCUUCAGGAAGUCCAGCUAUGAAGAGAGUACGGACCUCGUCGUGCGAGGAUUGAGGGUAAAGCGGCGGAGCGUAAUUGACGAAUUGGGUUUGAGGAGGUAGGUAUUGCUGGUGGUGUAGCGGCUGAGCUACCGCAGGAUGAGCAGGAUGGGCAGCGGCUCCUGGAGGAGGUGGUGGUGGAGCUUCGUAAUAUUGGUAGUGGGCAGGCGGAGGAGGGUAGUAUGCCGCCAUGACGACGACGUCGUCCAAGGAGAGACUUCGAUGAGGCCUGGUUUUUUCCUAUACUGUGAUUUUUCUGAAUACGAGCUUAGCGUUUUCAUUUACUAAGCUAGGAAGUCGGCCAGUGGUGGAUGCUUUUGGGCCCAAUAGGCGAAAGGAUUCAUAUGGGCUUUUUCGGGUUUUCAGAUGGGCUUUUUUUUUCUUUUUUCUUUAGGUAGCUCUCUUCGCUUUUUUUUUUUUUUUUUUUUUGGUUCUUCCUCUUUCCCUUUUUAUUUUUAGGUAGCUUUCUUCGCUUUUUAUUUGUUCGUAAUAUAUUCUCUACUAACUAUUUUUUUUUUAAUCCCCAACUCAGUUUGCUUAUCUUGGAAGAUCGCCACGAUUGUUGCCGCCUAUAUUCGGGGAGGGACCAAGAGAAGAAAAGAAAAAUGCUACUCAAAGUUUGCGAGCGAGAGUGUUAGAUAAAAACUCAGAUUAGAUCAAUGGAUGGGUACGAGAUAGAGACGACAUACUUGUAGAGUUAGUUCUGCAUUUUACAUGGAAAAUGGCGGUUUCUGUUUGGAAGACUUAUGGGUGAGGCAAGUUUUGGAUUUGAAGCAUUUACAAUAAGUCUCUAAAGCGACAAAAAAUGACAAAUAUUACGAAGCCAAGUUACGUGCACGUUUGCAGCUCGUGCGAAACAAUAAUGACAAUAGAUUUUGGAUCAGCCUCACCACCCCCAUCGAGAUAAUUCAAUUUUCCACGAGAACAGGCUCCUUGUGCAACUGUUACCAUAAAAAAAAAAAAAGUCAAUUUGAUUCUUAUAAAGUAAUUGGAUAAAUUGGUUGAUUAAAUAUAAAAGUGAACGAGUGAAUGGGUUUGAAAUAUUUUUUACUGUCACGUUUCUGGUUUGAAUUCUGUAUCUGAGAGUUAGGAACGGAAAGGAUGCGACGAGAAAGGGGAGAAUAAAAUAAAUGAAUAUCAUGUGGAAGAUCAUGAAUACUUGUAAUACCAUUUUGUUCAAUCAAAACGAAAAUGCUAGAUUUCGUCAUGCAGAUAAUGCAUCAUUAACUAGAUUACAUAGAUUCAAAGAAACUAAUACUCGUCUUCCCGGGAGAUGCAAUGGCAACAUUAAUACUACCAAAAUCCAGAAACCUUUGACUGGCCUCUAUAAGUUGGAUUGGUUCAUCCACACCACUAAUGUUAAAUUUCGUCUUACAAUUAGCUUCGGCACUAUCAAUGUUAAUUGCUCUCCACUAGAGGUCGAGCAAUCAAAUGUUUGGUCGACUCGUAGUCAAAAUUCACCUAUAAUGAAAACUCAUGGCUUAAAUGUUGAAAUUGUUAAUUUUUUGUUGCUAUAUACGUACUGCGUUUCCCUUUUAGUUUUCAGUAAGGAACCCUUCUGUUCCAAAUACUAAAACGGCCACUUGUUCUCAAUCCUGAAGUAGCGUUAAUCAUUUGAGUUCCUACCAUGCCCAAUGACAAGGAAGAAAACGUAUACAUUCCUCCUAGAUAAAAGAUUUUACCAACAGCCCCCGUGCUUUCUCUGCGAAAGUGGUCAAGUUCGGUUAUGGAGACUAAAAUGCCAUGGGAACUAAUGCUGCUACAUCUUGAUAAUCCAAAUGAGGCUAUUGAUUUCCAUGCACUUCUUUUGCAAUGUGGUAAAGCUUAGAAUUGAACAGCUUCAUCUUGCGUUGUAGUAAACUUUUAUAUAUAAGUUUUUUGGAAAAGAAAUUUCUAACAAAAGAAGAGUAAGAUUUAAGAAGCGAAAAAAGGGGAGGGAGAUUUAAACACAGACCUCUAAGUCCUAGGACCUGGACCAAAGCCUCCUCUACUAUUUUAUACAUACUUCCAAGUUGUAAUAUCCUCUCAUACUUAUAUUACCAUUUAAAUUAUCAUCUAACAAAAAAAUUCAAAAGCACACAUCACAUAAAAUCUGGGCAGCCUCACACUUUGCGUCAGGCCCAAUUCAACUAGUUGACAUCAAAGUCUGACCACUCACACUAUUGAAUGGAAAAUUGUUCGAAAGACUGCUUUGCCGAAUGUCCACUAGUCGAAUGGGCAAGCUCAUUGAGUUCAAAAUCAAAUCAAUUAAGGUGGAAAGAAGGCAUGAUGACUGAAAUUUCACUAGCAACGGUUUACUCGAAUCUUGCUCUGAUCACCAAAAGGAGAAAGUCUUGAAAUCCAAGGCCAUCUGCCCAAUGCCCUGAGAUGAAACUCUACCCACAACCAAAAGAGACCUCAAUCAUCAGGUUAAAGCAACACUACACAUUCAAGAAAUUAGCCAGCAAACAGGAUCUUUUAACAGCAAACGAAUUUAAUGUCAGCUUGUCUACACAAAUUUGUGACACAAGAACGUCAACGAGUAGGUUCAGAUACACGAUGAAAUGUGCUUUAUCAUGAGAAGAACUACCAAUGAGCAUAUUGGCUGACUGGAACACUUCCACAUUUCGAUAUUAGUGAAGUCCAAACAGAACACUUCAGAAUGCAGUUUGCAUCAAAACAACUGAAACAAUCAUCAAGAACCAAAAUGCGCAAGCUAUU
rnacentral:lncRNA from 1 species